CUCAAAUCAAAUAAGGCUACCCACUGAACUUAAGCAUAUCA
rnacentral:rRNA from 1 species